rnacentral:tRNA from 1 species
AAGAUUUUAAGUUAAUAAAACUAUUAGCCUUCAAAGCUAUCAAUAUAAGUAUAAUCUUCUAAAUCUUA